rnacentral:lncRNA from 1 species
UUCCGCAAGUUUACGCUAAAUUUUACUAUAACGCUAUUCACCCCCCUCUAGCGUUAAGCGAAUUAUCUAACAACCUACACAAAGCAAGACAUAUUACACAUGCUAUUCUAAUGAUAUGAGCAUACACAAAGCAAGACAAAUUACAAAUUAAGAGAACUACGUAGGGAAACCUUCACAUGAUCUAAUAACCCAAACACUACAAUUAGUACAGUUGAUGAAUAAACUAAUAUACUUAAGAACUUUAACUAAACAUGAUCAAACUACUAAAAUAAAAAAACAGCAGAAUAAGCCUCAAUUCCCAUUUCAUUUCCAGCAGGAGAUUUACAUAGCAUUUGAGUUUCAUAGAAAGUACCUGGAAUCAAACAGAAAUGAGUGGGAUAAGAAAUCAGUAGAAGCAGAAGACGAGCAGCAACACAGUUAUACUUGAGAAACCCAGAAAAUAAGAGGAAAAUAGCCCCAAAUAGGAAUUCCAACCAAACAAUAACCACUAACUAACAGUCCAUGAAUGAUUGAAACCAAACCGACUCCAAAUACCAGCUAGAUGAUUUAGAACUCAACUACAAGUUAUAUUGAGCUACCAGCUAACCCAAUUUUAUAGAAAACUGAGAAUAAUCCAGAAAUAGACUACGAAAGUAAAAUAUUUUUGUCUUUUUCUUUGUUUUUGUGCUGUUUUUGUAUUUUUUUGAAGGCUUUAGUUUCAAAAUGCAGGUCUGAAACUUAAAGGUAAAAGCUUUUUUUUCUGGCUGAAGGAGGCUGUUGAUUUUUUAGAGUCUAGAACCUGCCUUCUAAGGUAAGAAAUUAUGCCUUUAUAGGCAAAUCAUUAGGGCACCCCUUGCAGAUUUUAUUUUACCCUUCACCCCCCUUUGUAAUUUUUAUUUUUGCUUCAAUAUCCCUAGAUUUAUGACUUGUUCCCCAAGUUGUACUACCUAAAAGUCUGAAAUUCCAACCCCAUCCCACUGUAGAAGCUUCUUAGUUAUUAUGAAAUAUUCCCUAACCUCCAAAUAUCUAAACUACCCUUAAUCCUAUAUUGAAAUUACCAAUUCUCAAGAUACUACCAUUUUCCAUACCCAAAUUACCCUUCCAACAAUUUGACGAUUACAAUCUGAAUUAACUGAAACCAAUCUAUCACCCUAGUUAAAUUUAUCUACAGUUGUCUAUCAGUACACUAACCAACAAUAUCAAUUAACACUAGAAUGCAAUACUACUGAAAUCAGUCCCAAACCCACUUCCCAAAUCCAAAUUUCAAAACCAUACUAAUUAACUACCAAACCCAAACUAAUUAAUGAGCAACAAAAAUUAAGAAAGAGAAUCAAACUAAACUACCAAUUAAUAGAGAAACAAUAAUGAAACCAGAAGAAGUAGAACUGCAAGUAAACAUUAAACAGGCAUAUUGGUACCAUGACUUAUUUGACUAAAAUUAUCUAGGAACGAUGUUAAAAAAUGGUUGAUGAACCACUAAACCUACUGACAAAUUAAGCUAACAGAAUUUUAGGGAUAUCAAACUUACUGCUAAAAUGAAAUAAACUAAUAACUAAUGACCAAGAUAAAACCAACUAAUCGACAAGCCUAAACUCAACAAAAUAAUAUGCAAUCAGAAUAUCUACCCACAAUUUCUACAACUCACCAACUCGACAGGAGAGACAAAGAAGGAGAAGUUAUUGAACUUACAAACUAAACCCUAACACUAGAGGACUUACCGUAAGAAAAUUCCCAAACGAAGCUAAACACUGACGAACCUAGAUCCGCAAUUCAGGAUUUUCUGCUUGUAUUCGAGGGAUUCCAAGCAUGUUUUAUUGACGGGGAAGGGACGAAGGUUGACUAGUACCAAUUUGGGGUUUUUUGGAUGAAGUUCAUGUUUGGCUCGAAACUUCAAUUGAAGAUUCGAGAAGUUCUAGGCUGAUUCAAGGCAAGCGGUUCAUGGAUUCGUAACGAGGGUGGUCUGCUAGUUCAGGGGUAUUAUUUUGGUGGUGAAUGGAAGCGGCGCCGUCGGCGGCGGCCUGGGGAUUUAAGGGCGGCUCCAUUUGGGUUUCUGGAGAGGAGUGGGGUAUGAAG